rnacentral:rRNA from 1 species
UGAGGCCUCGGGACGCAGCAGUGAGGAAUAUUGGUCAAUGGGCGGGAGCCUGAACCAGCCAAGCCGCGUGAGGGAAGAAGGUACAGCGUAUCGUAAACCUCUUUUGUCAGGGAACAAAGGCGGGGACUAGUCCCCGGAUGAGGGUACCUGAAGAAAAAGCAUCGGCUAACUCCGUGCCAGCAGCCGCGGUAAUACGGAGGAUGCGAGCGUUAUCCGGAUUUAUUGGGUUUAAAGGGUGCGCAGGCGGCCUGUUAAGUCAGCGGUAAAAGCCCGGGGCUCAACCCCGGCGAGCCGUUGAAACUGGG